AGCGGGCAACGGAAUCCCAAAAGCAGCUGUUGUCUCCAGAGCAUUCCAGCUGCACUUGGAUUUCGUUCCCUGCUCUCCUGCCUGAGCAGCGCCCUGGCCCAGAUAAUGUGGUCUCUAUUCUCAGAAACACUACACUACUGGGCCAUUCUGAUCUCCAUCUCUCAGGUGCACCCCCAGACUGAUGGUGGCAGUCAGAGGCGACGAAAAAAGCUCGGGCUGAUGGCCCUGUCUGGAAUCCCUGGAGAACUCUGACCAGGGAGGUCCUGGGUCCUCUCUCUGAAGGGCCGCAAUGGCGGUGAGUCCCACAAGGCCGCCCAGCCCGCAGCUCGCUAAAGAUAGAUCUUCACUUCCUGGGGAAAACCCACCCCAACCGUCUUCAUGGAGGGAGAGUAGCUAAAAUCACCAACUUGCUGGUGGGUCCCAGCCCUGCUAGCAGCUGAACCCACACCACAGCAUGGAAAGUGCUUUGGAAUGACACGAUCACUCCCGUUGAGUGGGCACCCAAGAAGCCAUCGGGAAUGUCGUGUCCGCCCAGUGCUCUUU
rnacentral:lncRNA from 1 species